rnacentral:rRNA from 1 species
UACGGGGGGGGGCAAGCGUUUGUUCGGAAUUACUGGGCGUAAAGGGCCAGUAGGCGGCCAACUAAGUCGGAUGUGAAAUCCCCAGGCUUAACCUGGGAACUGCAUCCGAUACUGGAUGGCUUGAAUUCGGGAGAGGGAUGCAGAAUUCCAGGUGUAGCGGUGAAAUGCGUAGAUAUCGGGAGGAAUACCAGUGGCGAAGGCGGCCUUCUGGACUGACACUGACGCUGAGGCGCGAAAGCUAGGGGAGCAAACGGG